rnacentral:rRNA from 1 species
AUGACAUAUCGGCGGCCUCCCGCGGGGAGGACCGCCGGACGCAAUGAAUAUCCUAUCUUGGAAUUGCCGGGGGGGAACCGCCGGACAGUUCGUGAGGUUUUGGCCCUCUCAAAAGCCAAUAACACCAAGAUAGUCUUUCUCUGUGAGACUAGACAAGAUGCAAAUAAAGUGGAGAAGUUGAAGUGGAGAUUGGGCCUAAAGGGCUUUCAUGGUGUUAGUAGCGAUGGUCGGAGUGGUGGUCUUGCACUGUUCUGGGAGGAA